ACCACCUCCAUUGCAGCGACGAACUGCUCUCGUUCUUCAUGGGCAAAAACACGCCCGAACGGCAGGAAUUCAUCAUCCACAACCUCCGCGUCGAGAAGGACCUGAUUGAGGCGUGAGGUUCGGCGGUCUGUUCUGUUUUUUUCCCGAAAAAGUCACUGCCGCCGACAGACCGCAAUUGAAAGGAUUCGCCGGAGCGGUAACCUCGCCGCAUGAGCACGAAAGUCCGGGAGUAAACUGUGAACGACCUGCAACGACGCGUGACCGAACUCGAAGGCAGGAUCGGCGUCAAGGCGAGCGACGGCUGGCGCAAGAUUGUCGGGCAGCGAAGAACGACCAAUACUUUGCCGAGGCGAUGCGCCUCGGCGCGAAAUGGCGAAAGAAGGCAAACCGGGAGAAAUGGUGAGCCGAUGUUCGUCGUCCUCGACACGAAUCACUUUGCUGAACUCGUGCAUGACACCGCGCUUGGCGCGCGACUGAAGGCGCGAUUCCAAGCGCGGAGCCUAGGCACUUCACAUUUCCAUUCCAGAGUUCUGCUCGGGAAAAAGGGGCAGGAGUCACCGAUUGACAGACACAGUGACUGCUUUGAUCCCGCGCUUGGCAGAUGGUGCAGAGCGACCUACGAUGCCGCCAUGCACAUCGAAAUGGAUCUACCGGAUUCGGCGUUCAGCGCGCUGCGGCUGAGCCCGGUGGAGUUUGUGCGGGAGAUGCGCGUUGCGGCGGCGUUGAAGUGGUAUGAGGCGGGAAUGAUUUCACAGUCGAAUGCAGCGGCGGUGGCCGGAGUUUCGCGUGAGGCGCUGCUCAUGGCGGCUGGCAAGUUUCGCGUGUCCGCCGUGCAGGCCACUCCCGAGGAAUUGGCCGAGGAACUGAGUCGUGACUGAUCGCUGGGUGGUCAAUGCCUCGCCGCUGAUCCUCUUGGGCAAGGCGGAGCAGCUCGGUUGGGUGCCGAUGCUGGGCGAUGUGGUGAUCCCGCAGUCGGUGGCAGCGGAAAUCGGCGCGGGUUCGGACGAUGAUCCUGCGCGGCAAUGGAUCGAGAGCGGCACCGGACGUGAUUUGAUCCAGCCCGAUGCGGCGAUGAGUGAUGCGCUGCUUGCAUGGGAUUUGGGUGCGGGUGAGACGGCGGUGAUCGCUUGGGCGGUGCGGCAUCCAGGCGUGGAGGCAGUGCUGGAUGACGGUGCAGCGCGGGCUUGUGCGCGAGUAUCGGGGAUUCAAGUUCGUGGAACUCUGAGUUUGGUGGCGCUUGCAAAACGCCGGGGAUUCAUCCCUGCCGUGCGUCCCGCGUUUGAUCGGCUGCAGGCUGCGGGAUUGUUUGUGACACCUGCAUUGAUCGAGCAGGUGGCUCGGGUGGCGGGUGAGUGAGCGAGGCCCUUUGCCAGUAAUCCAUCCACUGUCGGGCAUGCGGUUCAUGGACCUUCCGGCGCUUGUCGAAUGGGAACGAAUCCAGUUACCUCGCCGGCCACGGCAUCACUGCCAAAAGAAUUUCAGAACACGCUCUUAAAUGCCCAAACGCCCCAAAAAGCCCGCCGACAAACCAUCGAAGAAACCGAUCACCAGCGGACAACCGGAACUGCUUUUGGACUCCGCGCCUGUGCCUGCGCCCGCUGCGGCGGCAGAUAUAACGCCGGUAACCACCAAUGGUGCCGUCUCCGAUGCGACCGCAGAUGGGCAGCCCGACGCCGUACCGUCGGCUGAUGGGAUGCCGCCGAGGCGCAAGGAGGGCGAGAAGGUUCAGGAUGAAAAUGCCCCGCUCGCCGUCAGCUACCGCAAUUGGUUCCUCGACUACGCGAGCUACGUGAUCCUGGACCGUGCGGUGCCACACAUCGACGACGGCCUGAAGCCGGUCCAGCGCCGCGUCCUACAUACCCUCUGGGACAUGGACGACGGCCGGUUUCACAAGGUCGCCAACGUCUCCGGGCGGACCGCAUCACUGCACCCGCACGGCGGCGCGUCGAUCGAUGGCGCGCUCGUGGCCAUCGGGCAGCGCGGGUGGCUCAUCGAGCCGCAGGGGAAUUACGGCAACACGCUCACCGGCGACGAUGCGGCCGCGCCGCGCUACAUCGAGGCGCGUCUCACGCCUUUCGCGAAGGACGUGCUCUUCAAUCCGAAGACGACGACGUGGCAGCUCAGCUACGAUGGCCGCAAUAAGGAACCGGUCACGCUGCCUG
rnacentral:misc_RNA from 1 species